UACGAAGGGGCUAGCGUUGUUCGGAAUUACUGGGCGUAAAGCGUGCGCAGGCGGUUCGUUGUGAUCGGCGGUGAAAGCUCCCGGGCUUAACCUGGAAUGGCCGUGAACUGGCGAACUGGAGUGUGGGCAGAGGGGGUGGAAUUCCGCGUGUAGCAGUGAAAUGCGUAGAUAGUCACGAGGAACACCGGAGGUGUAGACGGCCAACGUGGACAGGUACUGACGCUGAGGCACGAAAGCGUGGGGAGCGAACAGG
rnacentral:rRNA from 1 species